rnacentral:rRNA from 1 species
UGGGGAAUUUUGCGCAAUGGACGAAAGUCUGACGCAGCAACGCCGCGUGGGUGAUGAAGGUCUUCGGAUCGUAAAACCCUGUCGUCAGGGACGAAGGUUGCAUGCCUAACAGGUGUGUAACUUGACGGUACCUGGAGAGGAAGCCCCGGCUAACUCUGUGCCAGCAGCCGCGGUAAUACAGAGGGGGCAAGCGUUAUUCGGAAUUAUUGGGCGUAAAGGGCGCGUAGGCGGUGAUUUAAGUGAGAUGUGUAAUCCCCGGGCUUAACCUGGGAACUGCAUCUCAGACUGGAUCGCUAGAGUGCUGGAGAGGGUGGUAGAAUUCCACGUGUAGCGGUGAAAUGCGUAGAGAUGUGGAGGAAUACCAGUGGCGAAGGCGGCCACCUGGACAGUAACUGACGCUGAGGCGCGAAAGUGUGGGUAGCAAACA